rnacentral:tRNA from 1 species
GCGCCCAUAGCUCAGCUGGAUAGAGUGCCGCCCUCCGAAGGCGAGGGGCGCACGUUCGAAUCUUGUUGGGUGCGCCA